CCUACGGGAGGCAGCAGUCGAGGAUCUUCGGCAAUGGGCGCAAGCCUGACCGAGCGACGCCGCGUGGGCGAUGAAGGCCUUCGGGUUGUAAAGCCCUGUCGAGGGGAAGGAAGCCGCAAGGUUGACCUAUCCCUGGAGGAAGCACGGGCUAAGUUCGUGCCAGCAGCCGCGGUAAU
rnacentral:rRNA from 1 species